rnacentral:rRNA from 1 species
AUGAACGCUGGCGGCGUGCUUAACCCAUGCAAGUCGAACGAGAAAUGGAGACGGAAACCUUCGGGCGGAAGGCUUCAUUUCGAGUGGCGGACGGGUGAGUAACGCGUGGGUAACCUGCCUCAUACAGGGGGAUAACAGUUGGAAACGAUUGUUAAUACCGCAUAAGACCACAGCACCGCAUGGUGCGGGGGUAAAAACUCCGGUGGUAUGAGAUGGACCCGCGUUCGAUUAGCCAGUUGGCGGGGUAACGGCCCACCAAAGCGACGAUCGAUAGCCGAUCUGAGAGGAUGACCGGCCACAUUGGGACUGAGACACGGCCCAAACUCCUACGGGAGGCAGCAGUGGGGAAUAUUGCACAAUGGGGGAAACCCUGAUGCAGCGACGCCGCGUGAGUGAAGAAGUACUUCGGUAUGUAAAGCUCUAUCAGCAGGGAAGAAAAUGACGGUACCUGAGUAAGAAGCCCCGGCUAACUACGUG